rnacentral:rRNA from 1 species
GAUGAACGCUGGCGGCGUGCCUAAUACAUGCAAGUCGAGCGAACGGACGAGAAGCUUGCUUCUCUGAUGUUAGCGGCGGACGGGUGAGUAACACGUGGUUAACCUACCUAUAAGACUGGGAUAACUUCGGGAAACCGGAGCUAAUACCGGAUAAUAUUUUGAGCCGCAUGGUUCAAAAGUGAAAGACGGUCUUGCUGUCACUUAUAGAUGGAUCCGCGCUGCAUUAGCUAGUUGGUAAGGUAACGGCUUACCAAGGCAACGAUGCAUAGCCGACCUGAGAGGGUGAUCGGCCACACUGGAACUGAGACACGGUCCAGACUCCUACGGGAGGCAGCAGUAGGGAAUCUUCCGCAAUGGGCGAAAGCCUGACGGAGCAACGCCGCGUGAGUGAUGAAGGUCUUCGGAUCGUAAAACUCUGUUAUUAGGGAAGAACAUAUGUGUAAGUAACUGUGCACAUCUUGACGGUACCUAAUCAGAAAGCCACGGCUAACUACGUG